UACGAAGGGGGCUAGCGUUGCUCGGAAUCACUGGGCGUAAAGCGCACGUAGGCGGAUUCUUAAGUCAGGGGUGAAAUCCUGGAGCUCAACUCCAGAACUGCCUUUGAUACUGGGAAUCUUCGAGUCCGGGAGAGGUGAGUGGAACUGCGAGUGUAGAGGUGAAAUUCGUAGAUAUUCGCAAGAACACCAGUGGCGAGGGCGGCUCACUGGCCCGGUACUGACGCUGAGGUGCGAAAGCGUGGGGAGCAAACAGG
rnacentral:rRNA from 1 species